CGCAGAAAAGUGACAGCCAGUAACUCAGGAAGAAACCGUCAGCAGUUAGUGGUGGCGGAGUGGUUGUGCCAACAUGAGGGCCUGGCAGGGAUGUCUGAGGGGAGGAGCUUGGUGUGAAGAAGGAGCACUUCCAAAUGUGGUGUCUAAAUUAAAACGUUAAUUUCGGUGCCUUUUGACGAAGUGCUGUCACUUCCCUUGGGCCCUUCCCAAAUCUGGGCCGCAAGGAUGGACUAAGAGUGAAAGGAGAAGAGGGGAGCGAGGAGCAAGAGAGGGAAGAAGAGAACUCAGAGGUUUACGAAGUAAAUGAAAAAUUACUUGGCGAAAUUCGACUAGGCCCACAAGGUCUUCGACUGCUGGGAAGUGCCAGUUUGUACCAGGUCGUUUAGGUUGUUAAACCAACUGUCACUGGAGAGGAAAGAAAGAGCUGUUUAAAUUUUGGCAGCUUGAUAGACUUUUUUAAAACCUCUUUUGCAGGGUUGAUUUUAACAUAAAUCUUGAGCAGGCCAAACAUGUAAAACACCACUCGGGCCAUUACAGUUAUGUCAAGGUUCUAUUUUCUCCCGCCAGCAGGCUGAAAGCUCAUUACCUGCCUGCCUGGUUCCGCUGUCUCAGCUCCUUCUUGGAAGCAGGUGGCGUCUCCAUGAUGAAUACAUUAAAGAGAAAAAAGAAAGAAAACAUUCCUGGGUUGUUGUUAGACCGGCUUCUUACUGGAGACACAGUCCUUCUUCAAGCAGGCUCUCACUCUCUGCUGAUAUUCUAUGCGUCUGCCAAAACCAUAUAAAAAUCAUUCAUGGAGAAAAGUUCCCAGCACCAGCAGCCAAUGCAGUCCCUUCCCGAUCUGAAGUUUAACGCUGGCCUGGAGACUGGUGAGGACUGGAUGUUGGGGAAGAUCCUGAGUGAGGAAAGCUUGAAGGGAAGAUGAAUGUAUUCAGUGUCUAGCGGUCCCCGCCCCGGGGGGAAGGACGCACACCCUUCACUUCAUCACAGCUAAAGCUGAAAAGAGACACAAGUUUGUGAUAUUUCUCAGUGACGUAUACCUUCUCAUCUGUCUGGAGUUGUUUUCUGCCAACAAGGAGAUGCUGCUUAAAAAAGCCCAACCCAGGAAACCCUGGCAGUUUGCAGUCAUCAGUACUUAAUAUCUGCGCUUUCCCGGUACAAGACAUCCUGUCUCCCUUUCCUCCUUAAAAAGUAGGAGUUACAGAGAGGGUCAGAGGGAAAAAUGCUUGUCUGUAGUAAGGAAUGGCUUUGAUGAGACGCACACGCACACGCACUGCCCAUGGCAUUUAGAGUCACACAAACUUGCCUUGAGCCGACAGUCCUACGGUGACAUGGGCCAUAUAUUCAAGACCUUCGAGACAGAUAAGAAUUCUGAAGUCCCCCGUGAUUACACUGUGAGAGGAAGCCUUUGUUUAGCUCUUGGCAGUGUUCGCAGAACAAUGGGCUGCCAGUGAUAUAUGCAAAUGUGUCCUUUCCCCAUUACUGGACGUGACCUUUAUGAUUAGAUUGGAAGAGCAACAUCAAUUCCUGGGUUAAUAGGACUUAUUGGCCUAAAGGGAGGGAGCAUGUUCUCCUGGCAAGCCUGAAAAACUCAGAAUCAGACCCACCAAAUUCUCAUCUUCAUCACAGCCCCAGGGUUCUUGUGUGGCUAGAGAAAUCCUUCACCUUCUGUGCCUUGUUUGUUCUUCGGAAAUCAGGGGAAAGCACCUUUCUCAGGAGCCUUAGGAGCCUUUAAUAAGAGUUUAAAAGUCAGAAGAG
rnacentral:lncRNA from 1 species